rnacentral:lncRNA from 1 species
UUACAUUUUUGUACAUCACCUGUAGUUUUUGUGAUGUAAUCCACUUUCAAAUGAAGUACAUCUUAAUGCUCAAUUAAACAUGUUUAUUAAAAUAAGUAUCCUACAUACACAGCAGUCAAAUACAAUUCUAAACUUGUUCUAUUCUGUUUACCCUGCAGCUCCAAAUAAAGACCCUUCACACCUACCACCCUUCUAUUCAGACCACUCAGACCUACGGCUGACACCUUUAGUCUCUCUUGCUCUCUCUCUCCAUCCUCUUGAUCCAUCCUCUGGCUGCAUUUUAUAAUGGCUCCUGGCUCCAACCGUAAGCUGUGUCCUAGUUGUAAAACAGCAAUAGGAGGAGCAUCAAAAAAAGUUCCAGUUCUGUGGUGCAAAAAUAUAGCUAAAGGUCAAGUUAGAGGCCCCAAAAAAUGAAGGCAACAGAUGAAUGGGCAAAUAAGACAAUGAAACAUGGAAGAUAUGCAACCUUGGUUAAUGCAGCAAACAAGCUGGUAAGCUUUAUUAUGUUUUCCAUGAAAAAGAUUUCUGCAUUUCUAGCUUAGGGAAAUGAUAGGCCCUAUGCACUUAUUUGCUGUUGUCUCAUUUAAGACUGUAAAUCUAAAUGUCAUUAUUUGACUGAUAUUUGUUGUGUUUCUGGGAGUUAUUUUGUCAUUAAUGAUUCCAGGUACAUAGGUUCCACAAGGUAGGAGUGUACCCCCUGCUACUCCUCAGGAAGAGGAAGAGGGAUAACAUUUUGUCGUCAAAGGCACUGUCCUCACAGUGCUAUGAUGAAUCAGACCACAAUGGCAGCAAUCCAAAGGUUGUAUGAUGUAUGAGGCAAUUGUGAAAAGUAUUUGGACAGAAAUAUGUAUGCUUGUCUACCUUAAGACCCUAUCCCUCAACCACCACAUCCGUCAGACUGUAAAAAACUAAUGAUUCCACUUACGCAAAUCUGCCAAAGUCACCCCCUCCCUCUCCUGUCCUGCCGGCCGAAACUCUAAUCCAUGCUUUCAUCUCCUCUCGCGAAUAGACUUUUGCAACUCACUACUCCCCGGCACUAACACAAACUCCCUCGAUAAGCUCCAAAUGGUUCAAAACUCAGCACUCCAUCUUCUAACCCACACUAAAUCAUCCUGGCAGCAUAUCACACCCAUUCUCUGUGAACUCCACUGGCUCCUUGUCUCCCACCACAUUAAUUACAAGAUCCUCCUGACCUAAAAAGCUCUCCUCCACCUUGCCUCUCUGAACUUCUUCUCUCCUACAGUACCAGCCCUCAUGCUCUCUCUGCUCAACCACAGUUGGCCACCUUGUCAUCCCCAGG